AAAUUGAAGAGUUUGAUCAUGGCUCAGAUUGAACGCUGGCGGCAGGCCUAACACAUGCAAGUCGAACGGUAACAGAAAGCAGCUUGCUGCUUUGCUGACGAGUGGCGGACGGGUGAGUAAUGUCUGGGAAACUGCCUGAUGGAGGGGGAUAACUACUGGAAACGGUAGCUAAUACCGCAUAAUGUCGCAAGACCAAAGAGGGGGACCUUCGGGCCUCUUGCCAUCGGAUGUGCCCAGAUGGGAUUAGCUAGUAGGUGGGGUAACGGCUCACCUAGGCGACGAUCCCUAGCUGGUCUGAGAGGAUGACCAGCCACACUGGAACUGAGACACGGUCCAGACUCCUACGGGAGGCAGCAGUGGGGA
rnacentral:rRNA from 1 species